rnacentral:rRNA from 1 species
UACGGAGGGUGCGAGCGUUAAUCGGAAUCACUGGGCGUAAAGCGUGCGUAGGCGGCGCAUCAAGUCAGGCGUGAAAGCCCUCGGGCUCAACCGAGGAAUUGCGCUUGAAACUGGUGUGCUUGAGGUCUCGGAGAGGUUGGCGGAAUUCCAGGUGUAGGAGUGAAAUCCGUAGAUAUCUGGAGGAACACCGGUGGCGAAGGCGGCCAACUGGACGAGUACUGACGCUGAGGUACGAAAAGCGUGGGGAGCAAACAGG